UGUUAAAGCUAGUAUUUACAUUCGCAGUGUGUAACUUACUCUUCAGAACACCUCUGGAUACCCGUGUGUGUGUGUACGGCUGCUGCUAAGCACAUUCUUUACGACAGUUAAAUGUAUAUUUUGUUGUUUUUAUGCGACAAAACAUCGCAUGUUUACGGCUCGUGUGGUCGCGCGCUUAUUCCAGUAGAGGGCGGCAGAACGGCGGCCUGCUUUUAACCAGCUUUUAACAUCUUAUAAACGUCAAAAUACCAGAUCCGUCUCCAGAGGAUUCACAUAGAGGACUGCCAUCAUCCCCAGGCCUCUGGUUUCUAGAGACAGCUGACGCUAUUUGGUAUCAUGUGCAACGUUAACACUCACGAGGGACGUUGCUCUUGGUUUGGUCUCCAUGGAGCAAAAUUAUAAUGACAAGCAUCGCCUGAACAGCAUCCUGAACCCAGAUUCCUGAAUUCACACAGAAGUGAUGUGAUAGAUGGUGAUGAAUGAAUGGGCUGAGGACUUUCUCCAUCGCUGUUUGCCUGGAUCUGGCUUUGCUCCAGAGCUGAAGGGACUCAGAGCUCAGAGGGUCCCUGUACAGCUCCGGUGGAUUACUGUAAAUCGAUCGCACAAUUGAUGGGGCUCCAAGCUUUCCCUUGGCCUGACAAAGACAAAUGCACGUAGUGAAUAAUGAUUAAAAAACGCUAACAGUACCUUUGCCACAGAUCAAAUACUUUCACAGAAAUCUGUCUGAGGACUAUCUAAUGGAGUCAUGAGAUUUUUUCAGAGCUCACUAUAUAUCCAGUCUGUUUAGUGAUCUUUUCUCAUAGACUGACGCUUUGCUCUGCAGCGAAGCUCUAGCGCUCACGGACACUAUCCUUUACGCUGAGUUGGUUAGCUUUGUUCGGCAUUUGUUGCCUAGCAACGUGUUUUCCCUGCCCGGUUUAAUGUUCUGCUUCCUCAACAUUGGAGAGUCAUGUAUGUGCGCGUUUUGUGUCUUUCGCCUAAGAGUCGGGUCAAAGGAUGGAGCAUUACCCUGAGAGUGCACAGUGCAUGUGCAGAUAUGCUUUAUACAAUUAUACAUAGGAAUGUAAAUAACUGGACUGUAUAUUGCAUGUUGCAAGGAAAUAUUCUUGC